rnacentral:rRNA from 1 species
AUUGAACGCUGGCGGCAUGCCUUACACAUGCAAGUCGAACGGCAGCAUGGAGAGCUUGCUCUCUGAUGGCGAGUGGCGAACGGGUGAGUAAUGCAUCGGAACGUACCGUGUAAUGGGGGAUAACGUAGCGAAAGUUACGCUAAUACCGCAUACGACCUGAGGGUGAAAGCAGGGGAUCGCAAGACCUUGCGUUAUACGAGCGGCCGGUGUCAGAUUAGCUAGUUGGUGAGGUAAAGGCUCACCAAGGCGACGAUCUGUAGCGGGUCUGAGAGGAGGAUCCGCCACACUGGGACUGGGACACGGCCCAGACUCCUACGGGAGGCAGCAGGGGGGAAUUUUGGACAAUGGGGGCAACCCUGAUCCAGCCAUGCCGCGUGAGUGAAGAAGGCCUUCGGGUUGUAAAGCUCUUUCGGCCGGGAAGAAAUCGCACAGGCUAAUACUCUGUGUGGAUGACGGUACCGGCAUAAGAAGCACCGGCUAACUACGUGCCAGCCGCCGCGGUAA